GGGAGCAAAGCAGCAGCAUCCAAAUCCUCGGUGAGAGGGAAGUGGCCGUGCACAGUUUCCCGCGAAGUCGUGUCCGCCUCCCCCCGCGACCUCGGGCGCAACCCGGACCCACCUCGCUCCCGCCGCUCGGUCAGGGACAGCGCCGCCUCUGUAGGCGAGGGAAGGAGCUGGAGCCGGAGCCGGAACCCAGGAAGGAUCCGCCCUACUACUCCAGGAUUGGUUUCUUAGGAUAAUUCUUUAUUUCCAUUGGCUACAAUGACUGCCACAACUCAAGCGACCUGGCGGGACCGCCAAUAAGCUUUGACCUCUGGCUAGCAUGCUGGGAGUUGUAGUCCUAAGGAAGCGCGUAGACUCAGAGAAAACUUGCGAAGUUUAGAAUGGAGCUGAAGAGACUGGGUUCCGUCCUAAGCCUUUGGACAGGGCCAUCAGCUUUUUCCCUGCCUUCAGACUUGAAUUAAACAUCAUCUCUUCCUUGGUGUCAAGCCUGCUGCCAUCAGACUGGAACUAAACCAUCAGCUCUCAUGGGACUCCAUCUUGCUGACUUACCCUGCAGAUCUUGGGAUUUAACCACCUCCAUAAUCAUGUGAACCAAUUCCUUCUAAUAACCACCGCCCCCCUACCCCAGUAUGUAUUGAUUCUGUUUCUCUGGAAAACCUUGACUAAUACAGGAAGUAACGGAGAACUUCUGACAAACAGAAAGAUACAGUUUCUGUUGGAUAGAACUGUGUAUUCAUCUGCAAACUGAUAACCAGUAUCUCCACGAUUAGGCCAGAUCACAUAUGUGGUGUGACUUGAAAGUGACUAGGCUUCUGCAAUACACACCCAAAAAUCAAGGUCAUUAUUUCAUCUUCACACCUAGUCUACCAGCUUCCUAUUUGAAAUCAAUACUCUCCAACCUAAGAGGCUGUUUGCUACACAAAUACUGAAGUAUUGCAGUACAAUGGUCUUGUGGGGAAAAAAAAGCUUCUACGUUGGUGGUUAAAACUGCCACUUUUUCUAGUUGGGCCUCUCUGAAUCUCAGAAAGGGUUGGCACAACAGAUUGAUUCAUAAGACAGUCACAACAGACUCAACAGACUGAGCCUCUGAAGGUCUGGGCCAAGGUCAGAGGGCAAUAUACAGCUGAGUUCUCUGCAGCUGUGCUUCCCAGCUCCCUGAUGUGCUCCUGGGGCUUUUCAGGAUUAUAGCAACUGUGUUUAAAGUCGCUGUACCUAGUUAUCAUCAACAGGCAGAUUAGCUUUUGAAAGCAUGUACAUUAGCUCUGGAUAUCACCAAACUAUGUUGUAAACAGCAUCAAGAAAACAGAAAAGGAUGGUAUGUUUUACUCAUCAGCCUUCCCCAACUCAUUCCUGAAGAAAGAGGGAAAGAGUGAGUGGUCUAAAACAUGCUUGCUUUUAGAAAGCUGACUUUGGGGGGCAGAGGUCAGAACUGAGAGAGAGAAAGAGAGAAAGGCAGUCCUCAAUGGGAUAAGUAAGAAGUCAGGGACUGGGGGCCAUAACUUCUUGACUAAAGCUUGAGGGCAGGAUGAGGCAGAGAAAGUGUCUUCUAAAUAACCCCUGGAGUAGAGAACUCUUUUCCCUGAACCUGUGCUGUAUCUUGGUAACACAUAUUCAACAUCUCCACCUACACCUAAACUGAUUGUUUGGUUUCCAGGAAUCCUCCCUCCAGGUCACUGGGAACUUCAAUUCCUUAGAAGAAAUAUAAGCUUCAGAACUGAGUCCUGGGAGAAAAGUGGUACAAAUAGAAACCACAAAAGGGUCUCAAUUUGGGUUAAGGUGAAGAGAUGUUCCAUAAUCGUGGGGUUGGGCCAGGCGACUGAAGUCCAUGGUGCUGGGCUGGAUGGUGAUGGGAGCAGGUAGUGUGGCAUAUCCCUAAAAAGAAGGAACCUUGAGCCCCUGAAGGGCUGGGCCAAGGUCAGAAGGCAAAGACAGGAUUAUAUCCUUCAGCUCUGGGGCCUUCGGGGGCAGUAAGGAAGAGUUCACCUUCAGGGACACAUCUCCAUUAGCAUGGCCUUUACCUUCUGGCUUGGGGACAAUUGAUUCCUCUGAUUUGUGUAGUUCUGAACAAAUAACUAGAGGUGCUGUGUUUUUUCCUCCAUCAUGAAGGCAAGGUUCAAAGAAAGGGCGAAGGGGGCCAGAGAAAUUAUGGGUGAAAGUAAAGAUGUGAGACUUGUCAGUCACAUUGUAGAAAGAGAUGACUCCUGCUUCAUAGUCCAGGAAAAUCCCCACACACCGUGGAGGCUCUUUAAGGCGGAAGGGGGUCUGCGGGGAUGUGAGAGCUUCAUACUCAUUCCCACGACUCUGUCGCAGAAGCCAGUGUCCAUUGGCAGGUGAGGCAGUAACCUUCCCCUUCCUGCUCACUGACUCACUACAUACCCCAAGAAUCCAUUUGGUCUUGUCUCCUACAUACACCUCCCAGUAGUGGCAGCCAGUCGUGAAGUACUCAGAGCCUAGGAUGCUGACAACGAAAUCAAAUCUCUGGGGGUUGUCAGGUACAGGCUGCCGUCUGUCUCCAAGCCUUACACAUCUUUGGUCCUCAGAAAGGAUGAGUUUGGGAUGUGCUGUGUCUGGGUCCAGGGUCACUGCCACUGCAAAGAGACACAGACAGGUGAGGCUUGGAAGCCUAGGUCUUAAGGGAUUUGGGGAUGGCUUUGGAGGGAAAAAGAAUCUUUAGGUCUGCCAUCACUGUCAUUAGCCCAUUUUAGUUCAUGGAUUCCCGCCCCUACCAUGUGUACUGGAACCAGAGAAUAUUCUUUUUCAAAGAAUAGGUCUCCUUGUCGAUUACUAAGUAAUAGAAGAAAAAGUUCUUCUUCAUCUGUCUGUGAAGCUACCUUAAUCCUUAGGAAAUAACUACCUGCUAUGAUUUAAGUGUGUCCCUCAAAAGUUCACGUGUUGGAAUCUUAAUCUCUCAUUGCUGCAGUGUUCAGAGGUAGGGCUUAGUGGGAGGUGUUUGGGUCCCUCACAAAGGGAUGAAUGCAGUUUUCACAAGACUGGGUUUAUUUCUCUAGAGAGCGGGUUAUGAUAAAGCAGGUCAGGGCACUUUGUCUCCUCUCUGCUUUUGCAGGCACUCACUUGCCCUUCUGUUCUUCCAGAAGCAACUAUCACCAUACUAUGAAGUAGCACAAGCCCUUCACCAGAUACAGUCGCCCAACCUUGGACCAUCCAGCCCCAAGAACCAUGAGCUAAAUAAACCUCUUUCCUUGAUCAAUUA